rnacentral:rRNA from 1 species
UUGAACGCUGGCGGCAUGCCUUACACAUGCAAGUCGAACGGCAGCACGGGUGCUUGCACCUGGUGGCGAGUGGCGAACGGGUGAGUAAUACAUCGGAACAUGUCCUGUAGUGGGGGAUAGCCCGGCGAAAGCCGGAUUAAUACCGCAUACGAUCUACGGAUGAAAGCGGGGGACCUUCGGGCCUCGCGCUAUAGGGUUGGCCGAUGGCUGAUUAGCUAGUUGGUGGGGUAAAGGCCUACCAAGGCGACGAUCAGUAGCUGGUCUGAGAGGACGACCAGCCACACUGGGACUGAGACACGGCCCAGAGUCCUACGGGAGGCAGCAGUGGGGAAUUUUGGACAAUGGGCGAAAGCCUGAUCCAGCAAUGCCGCGUGUGUGAAGAAGGCCUUCGGGUUGUAAAGCACUUUUGUCCGGAAAGAAAUCCUUGGCUCUAAUACAGUCGGGGGAUGACGGUACCGGAAGAAUAAGCACCGGCUAACUACGUGCCAGCAGCCGCGGUAAUACGUAGGGUGCGAGCGUUAAUCGGAAUUACUGGGCGUAAAGCGUGCGCAGGCGGUUUGCUAAGACCGAUGUGAAAUCCCCGGGCUCAACCUGGGAACUGCAUUGGUGACUGGCAGGCUAGAGUAUGGCAGAGGGGGGUAGAAUUCCACGUGUAGCAGUGAAAUGCGUAGAGAUGUGGAGGAAUACCGAUGGCGAAGGCAGCCCCCUGGGCCAAUACUGACGCUCAUGCACGAAAGCGUGGGGAGCAAACAGGAUUAGAUACCCUGGUAGUCCACGCCCUAAACGAUGUCAACUAGUUGUUGGGGAUUCAUUUCCUUAGUAACGUAGCUAACGCGUGAAGUUGACCGCCUGGGGAGUACGGUCGCAAGAUUAAAACUCAAAGGAAUUGACGGGGACCCGCACAAGCGGUGGAUGAUGUGGAUUAAUUCGAUGCAACGCGAAAAACCUUACCUACCCUUGACAUGGUCGGAAUCCCGCUGAGAGGUGGGAGUGCUCGAAAGAGAACCGGCGCACAGGUGCUGCAUGGCUGUCGUCAGCUCGUGUCGUGAGAUGUUGGGUUAAGUCCCGCAACGAGCGCAACCCUUGUCCUUAGUUGCUACGCAAGAGCACUCUAAGGAGACUGCCGGUGACAAACCGGAGGAAGGUGGGGAUGACGUCAAGUCCUCAUGGCCCUUAUGGGUAGGGCUUCACACGUCAUACAAUGGUCGGAACAGAGGGUUGCCAACCCGCGAGGGGGAGCUAAUCCCAGAAAACCGAUCGUAGUCCGGAUUGCACUCUGCAACUCGAGUGCAUGAAGCUGGAAUCGCUAGUAAUCGCGGAUCAGCAUGCCGCGGUGAAUACGUUCCCGGGUCUUGUACACACCGCCCGUCAAGGG